rnacentral:rRNA from 1 species
ACCCGCUGAAUUUAAGCAUAUAAGUAAGCGGAGGAAGAGAAACUAAAUAGGAUUCCCUCAGUAAUGGCGAACGAACAGGGAAGAGCUCAGAUUGGAUAUCGGGGCCUGUGGCUCCGAAUUGUAGUCUCGAAAUGCAAUGCCAUCGGGGGCGCAGAUUUAAGCCUCUUGGAAGAGAGCGCCGGCGAGGGUGAGAGUCCCGUUCGUCAAUUUGCAGUCCUCCGUACACGGCUUGCACUUGUUGAGUCACGUUCCUCGGGAUUGGAGCGCAAAUAGGGUGGUAAAUUUCAUCUAAAGCUAAAUAUAUGUUUGAGACCGAUAGCACACAAGUACCAUGAGGGAAAGAUGAAAAGGACUUUGAAAAGAGAGUUAAAAGUGCCUGAAAUUGCUGCAAGGGAAGCGGAUGGAACCAGUCCACGCGGUGAGAUUGUUGGGCGGAGGCGUGCGGGGUUGCACUUUCAACGAAAGUGGGGGUGUGAGUCUCAAUCGCCUUUCGCCUGAUGGUUCUUGCCGUGGGGGUCAUUGGUGAUUGGCAGCCGGGGAAACCUUCAAAGGCAUGGUAGCCCGUCUCCGGAUGGGUGAACGCGUUUGAUAGCACUCGGCCGCUGAUCAUAUCCGAGGUGUCCGGUAACUGGCGGCCUUGAGCGCAACGCGAGAACCAAUCGGUUCUUGCUGCGCGUUCGGCCGUAGGUCCUGACACACAUCUACGACCAAAUGGUUCUUUCCGACCCGUCUUGAAACACGGACCAAGGAGUCUAGCAUAUGUGCGAGUGCUUGGGCUGCAAACCCGUGCGCGCAACGAAAGUGACUGCUGGGAUGUUUGCACCAGCAACCGACUGAUCAAUUGCGAGACGUUUGAGUGUGAGCAUAUCUGCUAGGACCCGAAAGAUGGUGAACUAUGCCUGUGAAGAGCGAACCCAGGGGAAACUCUGGUGGAGGCUCGUAGCGAUACUGACGUGCAAAUCGUUCGUCAUACAUGGGUAUAGGGGCGAAAGACUAAUCGAACCAUCUAGUAGCUGGUUCCCUCCGAAGUUUCCCUCAGGAUAGCUGGAGUUGAUCAGUUUUAUCAGGUAAAGCGAAUGAUUAGAGGAAUUGGGGGCGCGUUGUCUUCGACCUAUUCUCAAACUUUAAAUGGGUAAGAUCGAUUAGUUACUUAAUUGAACUUUUCGGACAAAUGUCAACUCCAAGUGGGCCGUUUUUGGUAAGCAGGACUGGCGAUGAGGGAUGAACCUAACGUUCGGAUAAAGUGCUUAACUGCUCGCUCAUCAGAUACCAUAAAGGGUGUUGGUUCAUUUUAACAGCAGGACGGUGGUCAUGGAAGUCGAAAUCCGCUAAGGAGUGUGUAACAACUCACCUGCCGAAUGGACUAGCCCCGAAAAUGGAUGGCGCUUAAGCGGGCGACUGAUACCGAACCAUUGUUGCAAUUAUGCUGCAUCAAUGAGUAGGAGGGCAUUGAGGUUGUGGUGAAGCUCUUGGGGUAAUCCUGAGUGAAACAGCCUCUAGUGCAGAUCUUGGUGGUAGUAGC